GAUGAUAUAGGUAUUUAUAGUAUACAACUAAUCCAAAUACUGUUAGGGUUAGGAAUCUUGAAAUACUAAAAUACUAAACCAAUCUAAUUAUGAAUACAAAAACAACUAGUAAAUUCUAAACAAUAAAAUUCCUUAAUUAUUACUUGUAGACAACAUACUUUGUUUGGGUAUUUUUUGUAAAAAAGAAAAAUUUCAAUUUCAUUUCCUU
rnacentral:misc_RNA from 1 species